rnacentral:rRNA from 1 species
AUUGAACGCUGGCGGCAUGCCUUACACAUGCAAGUCGAACGGUAACAGGUCUUCGGAUGCUGACGAGUGGCGAACGGGUGAGUAAUACAUCGGAACGUGCCUAGUAGUGGGGGAUAACUACUCGAAAGAGUGGCUAAUACCGCAUGAGAUCUACGGAUGAAAGCAGGGGAUCGCAAGACCUUGUGCUACUAGAGCGGCCGAUGGCAGAUUAGGUAGUUGGUGGGAUAAAAGCUUACCAAGCCGACGAUCUGUAGCUGGUCUGAGAGGACGAUCAGCCACACUGGGACUGAGACCCGGCCCAGACUCCUACGGGAGGCAGCAGUGGGGAAUUUUGGACAAUGGGCGAAAGACUGAUCCAGCAAUGCCGCGUGCAGGAUGAAGGCCUUCGGGUUGUAAACUGCUUUUGUACGGAACGAAAAGCCCCGGGUUAAUACCCUGGGGUCAUGACGGUACCGUAAGAAUAAGCACCGGCUAACUACGUGCCAGCCGCCGCGGUAA